AACGCACCUUGCGCUCGCUGGUAUUCCGGCGAGCAUGCCUGUUUGAGUGUCAUGAAACUAUCAACCAUGGGCUUGGGUCUUGUGCCCUCGCCCUUGGCUUGGAUUUGGGUGUCUGCGGUCCUGGACCGCUCACCUUAAAUGGAUUAGCUGGACAUGUCUUGUGACCUGGUUCUACUUGGCGUAAUAAGCAUUUCGCUGAGGACAUCCCAUCUCGGGGUGGCCAGGGCUCUCGGCGCCCGUCUGCUUCCUAACCUCCCCGCCGUCCCUCCGGGCGUGUGGACCAUUUUAUGAUCUGGCCUCAAAUCAGGUAGGACUACCCGCUGAACUUAA
rnacentral:rRNA from 1 species